rnacentral:rRNA from 1 species
UGGGGAAUAUUGCACAAUGGGCGAAAGCCUGAUGCAGCAACGCCGCGUGAGUGAUGAAGGCCUUCGGGUUGUAAAGCUCUGUCUUCUGGGACGAUAAUGACGGUACCAGAGGAGGAAGCCACGGCUAACUACGUGCCCGCAGCCGCGGUAAUACGUAGGUGGCAAGCGUUGUCCGGAUUUACUGGGCGUAAAGGAUGCGUAGGCGGAUACUUAAGUCAGAUGUGAAAAUCCCGGGCUUAACUUGGGAACUGCAUUUGAAACUGGGUAUCUAGAGUGCGGGAGAGGAAAGUGGAAUUCCUAGUGUAGCGGUGAAAUGCGUAGAGAUUAGGAAGAACACCAGUGGCGAAGGCGACUUUCUGGACCGUAACUGACGCUGAGGCAUGAAAGCGUGGGGAGCAAACA